GCUUUUUUGACUGAUUUAAUUCAUCUUUUUCUGCUAUUAGAAGUCCUGACUGCAAUCCAAAGACAAAAAAAGAGAACAAAAAAGAUCCAGUGCCAGAAGGGAGAAAUCUUCAGUGUGAGUGAAAGUAAUCUACCCUCAAUUUUGUUGACUAUUACAGGAAAGUCAUUUUACUGCUGGAGAGACAAAGAUUCAUCAUGUGCCUGCUUGCAAAAAUGAGAAGAGAAAGGGAGAGCCAUUGGAACUGUGGAUCUGAUGUGUUCAAUAUAUCUUAUGCAGAUGGAAUGCAAGAGAAACAGAUGUCCUCCCAUGUGCAUUCCAGCUUAUUUUGGCAUCAUCUCAGCUGAUUCCAGGUGACUAAGGCAGAUAUCUAAAAGAAGAGGAAUGAGAGAACUGAAGAAAAAUGACAAGAAAAAGGAAAUUCAACUUUCACCAUAACUGGGGCCUGUGGAAAGUUCAGGUCUUUACCUCUUCCAAGCUGUAUUCUGCUUUUCACUUGCAAGGAAACUUGCCAUGUUUCUGAGUAUUUUCCCAGCUGUUGUCUCACUGUACGUGCUGCCCUAGAGAUAUGUGUGUGUCUGUGGGUGUUGCUGGAAAUGUAGUGUGCUUCCCCCACAUCCACUGCAGCAUACAGUUUGCUUGGUUUGCUUGUGUGAUUAAGGUAAGCGCUAAAAAUGUUAGCAGCCUAGAACCAUUACAAGUCUAAAAGUUGUUCUUCCCUCUCUUCUCUUCUAGGCUUGUGACAUAUGGCCUUUCCCUUGCUAGAGUUCUGCAAUCCUUCAUGGUCUUAGCUCUAAAAAGCCAUUUGUUUGACAUUGUUGGAUGCCCUUAGGCAAAUUAAGACCCUGGUGAAACAGUUUAGUCACAGUCUGGUCUAGUCCACAAAGAAUUUGAAAACAGUUAAGGCUAAAAUAGAAGGAUUUUUAUGGUUCCUUGCCAUAAUAUUUUUAUUUUAUCUUCAAUAUGUACCUCUUAAAUUGCCCAAACUUUUAGUCAGUCCCACUGGACCAUUAUUUUUUCUCUUCUGGAGAUUUUUUUUUUCCAAUACCUUGGAUUUGAUCUGGUCUCUCCCUCUGACACAAAUUGACCAGCUAGCAUCACUAUGUAAGAAAACAGCCCUCUAGUUUAGCUUGCAUUCAUGUGGGUCUCUUGUGAUCCAGUUUAAACCUGAGAUUUUCCAACACCACAUUCUCUCAAAACACAGUGAAAUUUCUUUUUUAUGUCGUAUGUUGGGGGGUGAUUAUGGAGUGUGGGUGAGAAUGAGGAAUAAGGACAGGAAUGCAAGAGACUUUUGUUUCUCUAGUUUUCUGUACUGAUUUCCAAGCAGCAAGGCUAGUUCAGCACAGCUGGCAAUUUUUUUUUUAAAUUCUGGAUGGAAAUAAAGAGAGGAACAGGGUGAAAUUUCCCUCUCUC
rnacentral:lncRNA from 1 species